AGAGUUUGAUCAUGGCUCAGAAUCAACGCUGGCGGCGCGCCUAACACAUGCAAGUCGAACGAGAAAGUCCGCAAGGAUGAGUAAAGUGGCGUACGGGUGAGUAACACGUGGAUAAUCUACCUCCGAGUGGGGAAUACCGCUGGGAAACCGGUGACAAUACCGCAUAAGCUCGAGAGAGGAAAGCAGCAAUGCGCUGGGAGAGGAGUCCGCGGCUGAUUAGCUAGUUGGUAGGGUAAAGGCCUACCAAGGCAACGAUCGGUAGCCGGCCUGAGAGGGCACACGGCCACACUGGCACUGAAACACGGGCCAGACUCCUACGGGAGGCAGCAGUGGGGAAUCUUGCACAAUGGAGGAAACUCUGAUGCAGCGACGCCGCGUGAGCGAUGAAGCCCUUCGGGGUGUAAAGCUCUUUCGACAGGGAAGAUAAUGACGGUACCUGGAGAAGCAGCUGCGGCUAACUACGUGCCAGCCGCCGCGGUAAUUC
rnacentral:rRNA from 1 species